rnacentral:rRNA from 1 species
UACGAAGGGUGCAAGCGUUAAUCGGAAUUACUGGGCGUAAAGCGCGCGUAGGUGGUUCAGCAAGUUGGAUGUGAAAGCCCUGGGCUCAACCUGGGAACUGCAUCCAAAACUACUGAGCUAGAGUACGGUAGAGGGUAGUGGAAUUUCCUGUGUAGCGGUGAAAUGCGUAGAUAUAGGAAGGAACACCAGUGGCGAAGGCGGCGCUCUGGGCUGGAACUGACGCUGAGGAGCGAAAGCGUGGGGAGCGAACAGGAUUAGAUACCCCGGUAGU